rnacentral:tRNA from 1 species
GCCGGCAUAGCUCAGUUGGCAGAGCACUCGCCUUGUAAGCGAGAUGUCCUCCGUUCAAAUCGGAGUGUCGGCACCA